AUGGAAUUUGAAGGAAAUUGCACGUCGUGGGAACCUACCAUGACGAACACAUACUUGAGCGCUU
rnacentral:rRNA from 1 species